rnacentral:rRNA from 1 species
GAUGAACGCUGGCGGCGUGCCUAAUACAUGCAAGUCGAGCGAACGGACGCGAAGCUUGCUUUUCUGAUGUUAGCGGCGGACGGGUGAGUAACACGUGGAUAACCUACCUAUAAGACUGGGAUAACUUCGGGAAACCGGAGCUAAUACCGGAUAAUAUUUUGAACCGCAUGGUUCAAAAGUGAAAGACGGUCUUGCUGUCACUUAUAGAUGGAUCCGCGCUGCAUUAGCUAGUUGGUAAGGUAACGGCUUACCAAGGCAACGAUGCAUAGCCGACCUGAGAGGGUGAUCGGCCACACUGGAACGGAGACACGGUCCAGACUCCUACGGGAGGCAGCAGUAGGGAAUCUUCCGCAAUGGGCGAAAGCCUGACGGAGCAACGCCGCGUGAGUGAUGAAGGUCUUCGGAUCGUAAAACUCUGUUAUUAGGGAAGAACAUAUGUGUAAGUAACUGUGCACAUCUUGACGGUACCUAAUCAGAAAGCCACGGCUAACUACGUG